CCUACGGGAGGCAGCAGUAGGGAAUCUUCCACAAUGGGCGAAAGCCUGAUGGAGCAACGCCGCGUGGGUGAAGCAGGUCUUCGGAUCGUAAAACCCUGUUGUUAGAGAAGAAAGUGCGUGAGAGUAACUGUUCACGUUUCGACGGUAUCUACCCAGAAAGCCACGGCUAACUACGUGCCAGCAGCCGCGGUAAUACGUAGGUGGCAAGCGUUAUCCGGAUUUAUUGGGCGUAAAGGGAACGCAGGCGGUCUUUUAAGUCUGAUGUGAAAGCCUUCGGCUUAACCGGAGUAGUGCAUUGGAAACUGGGAGACUGGAGGGCAGAAGAGGAGAGGGGAACUCCAUGUGUAGCGGUGAAAUGCGGAGAUAUAUGGAAGAACACCAGUGGCGAAAGCGGCUCUCUGGUCUGUAACUGACGCUGAGGUUCGAAAGCGUGGGUAGCAAACAGGAUUAGAUACCCGUGUAGUC
rnacentral:rRNA from 1 species